GACGAACGCUGGCGGCGUGCUUAACACAUGCAAGUCGAGCGGUAAGGCCCCUUCGGGGGUACACGAGCGGCGAACGGGUGAGUAACACGUGAGCAAUCUGCCCUUCACUUUGGGAUAACCCUCGGAAACGAGAGCUAAUACCGAAUACGACCACUUCCGGCAUCGGAUGGUGGUGGAAAGUUCCGGCGGUGAAGGAUGAGCUCGCGGCCUAUCAGCUUGUUGGUGGGGUAAUGGCCCACCAAGGCUUCGACGGGUAGCCGGCCUGAGAGGGUGACCGGCCACACUGGGACUGAGACACGGCCCAGACUCCUACGGGAGGCAGCAGUGGGGAAUAUUGGACAAUGGGCGAAAGCCUGAUCCAGCAACGCCGCGUGAGGGAUGACGGCCUUCGGGUUGUAAACCUCUUUCAGCAGGGACGAAGCGCAAGUGACGGUACCUGCAGAAGAAGCACCGGCCAACUACGUGCCAGCAGCCGCGGUAAGAC
rnacentral:rRNA from 1 species